ACGGCCACACCUAGGCGAAAACACCAGUUCCCGUCCGAUCACUGCAGUUAAGCGUCUGAGGGUCUCGUUAGUACUAUGGUUGGAGACAACAUGGGAAUCCGGGAUGCUGUAGGUU
rnacentral:rRNA from 1 species